CAAUGUUGUCCUUUGUGGUCAGGACACGUAUGGGUCUCGGCGGAAGGUGAUCUCUGCGCUCCUAAUCCUCACCAUGCCAGUGCUAACAGGGACCAGGAGAUGAGCAGAGGAGAGGAGAGGGGGGGCCUCUCCAGCUGGGAUUCGGUCAGCAUUCCCUAACAGUCCUUAACUUUGACUGACAGUAAGUUAAUGAAACAAGAAAUUAGCUGAUACAGAGCGGACAGUGUCCUCUGAUGGUGAAAUGGGGAAUUUGCAUAUGAGGGAAAGGCCAAUUUGGAAAGUGAAUCGAACAUGUAAAUGUGAAAUACUUUUUAGACUCUUCUGGAACAGUGCUUUGUGUACCGCAUAGAAUCUGCUUUGUUUCCAGUGAAAUUACGGUGACAGUCUGUGACAAUAAUGGGCAUCUGAACAAUUCAAAGUGGGGAAAAAAAAAAAUGUUUCUAUCUAAAGUGCAUGAAAGUCUUCGGUGGAACCAAAAAAUAAAUGGUGACAUCAUCUCAUUCAGAGCCAGUUUCAGUAAAAAUCUAAAUAAAACAAGUGUGACCCCUUCCUGCGUGACUCACUGUGGUGGAUAACUCAAACAGUGCGCACUGAAAUCAUGGCGAGACGAGUCCAUUCUCUGCUGAAUGCUGAAUGCUGAAUGCUAACGCAGCAGGAAGAUGAGAUUCAUUACUCACACAGGGCCAUAAAGCUUGAAAGCUUUUUAUUUCAACCAUGGAAGCUGCAGGAAAGAACAGAAUUUUUCAUUUAGAGAGAAAAAAAUACAUUUAUGCCAAAAGAUGUUUUUUUUUUCCUGAUCCCAUCCCUGAAUCCUACAUUAAAGGUAGUGAUGCAGCAAUGGCUGAUUGGAACAAUGUGCACUUUAGCCUUGGCACGCAUUCCAUCGAACACUCCUUUUAUAUCUAUGGUGCCAAUUUUAACUCUACAGUUCUGUUCCACUCUCAAGCACAUCUUUGCUCUCACUGGUAAUAUGGGUAAUAUGAUGCUUUAUGUUCUGAAUGUAUAUACUGAACAGUGUUUUCUUUAUGUUACCCGAAUAUAGAAAGGGAUAUAUGAGAUCAAUCAUGAUAAAAGUAUAACUGAGUGUGGGUUCCCUGAAUUAGCCUCUGAUUCUUUAAAAAAUAAAAUAAAAAAAUAAAAAAAACGGGUUAAAAUGUUAAUGGAAAAAUGUAAAGUGUCAGUAUUUAAUUAUCUUCUUGAUUUUGAAUGAGCUACAUUUUUAGCCAGCAGAUGAUUUUCUAAAAAUGGCAACACAAAUCAAAUACAAGCUUUUCAUUAUGUUAAGUACAUUUACGGUGGCGCUUUGCUAAUCUUUGUCUCAGCCAGUUGAGUCUUGAUGAAAUGUCGCUCGCUCAGUUCACAUUCGUGAAGAGGGAACUGUGAACACAGGCGUGCUGGUCCUCUGCUUGGGUAAAGGCUGGAGAGAUGUCUGGACGCAGGGGCUACGUAACCUUGUUAAGAGAACUCGGAACUGGUCUGAGGUUAUUUGCAAUUAUAAUAAUAAGCUUUAUUUAUAUAGCACCGUAGGUCAUUAUUAUGUCAUUUAUUUCCACAGGGUUGUGAGGAUAUUCAGGUAGAGUUGUAGAUUUGGGAAGCUGUGUGUCUGGAGCUGUGUAUGUUGGGAAGAUGACAGCCAUUUUUAGCUUUAGAGCUGUAUUUCGAAGGCUUCAGUUUUCUGGGCUGAAAAGAUCGAAUCAGAAGAAGCCACUAAUUUGAAACAAUGAUUUUUUUAAAUGAUUUGUUUCAAGUUGCCCCCCAAAGCUUAUAUUUAAAAAGAACUCCAGGCAAUACAUAAAAACCGGGAAAAUCCAGGGAUGCAUUUGAUUGGUUUUGCUUAGCCUACAAAGCUCAAGUCUUGAGGUGGGGGGGGGGGGGAUUUUGUGGUGAGGUCAUCUGGUUCAGCUCCUUUCCCUGGGGUGCAUUUUCAAGUGGAAUUUUCCAGAAAGCUCUAUGUUCAAUUAAUCAUCCAAUUGCAUCUAAGUGUUCAAUAAUAACUGGCAGGUUGAUAGUAUUAUGAUUCUGAUUAUUUAUUUUCCAUAAUAUUCCCAAUCCCAUGUUAUCCGAAGAUAAAUUAAAAGAGGAACAUAUAUGUAUUUUUGUGUUAAUUGAGGGGUAUAUUGUGACCAAUAAAGCAAGCCCUUCUGAAUCUCAAACUGCUGAUUUAUUCUGAUCUAGAUUACCUAAUAAAAUCGCACUUGUCUGAAAUGCCAUGGAUCAGGACGUCUACAGAUUUCCCACUCAGAACCCCGGAGCCAAACUUUGUUACUGUCUGUGUGUGAUCUUCAACCAGUCCCCCAAACUGUAUGUAUGGUGACCGAAUGAGUCGUUUUUGAUACUGUAAUGCACAGACCAGAGGAAGGAGCAUUUCCUGAUGCCCUCCUGGCCCUUAUGCAAUGAGGUACCCUGACUGCACACUGACCGAGCAGGCCAAUCGGCCACUGCAUUAGAUGGCUUAUAGCCUUUGCAGAUACAGUAUAUUACCGUGGUUUAGUGCAUGGCCAUCGCCGGACACGGUUAUCAGGUCCGUCACUGGACUGGAAAGGCUAUAUUUGUCGGUCUGACGGUCUUUGGAAUAGCAAACCAGUGAUCUGGAUCCUCAACGCUGUGUCAGCAAAGGAGCAGAGCUGCAAGCUAAUGAAGUUUCUUUCCGUGAGCUGCACACCAGUUUCACGCCUGUUAGGCAUUGGUUACGUGAGAAUCAACCGGCAGUGAUUACAUCAUAUGAGAGAAAAAAAACUCCCCCCUGCAAUUAAAUCACAAUUCAUUCCAACAGAACUGCUAGCAAAGAGAACACUGAGAAACAACACAACGAGACGUUCAGCUCCUUGAUCAUAAUGCAGAUAAUUAUCGCAAUGGAUAUUAUGGUCUGGAGGCAAACCUCGGGGGCCUAAUCUGCGAGCAUCUGAGGAAGCAUUAAACUCAUGAUUACAUUACAUUAUAUAGACAAAUCAAUAUCCGCCCCUCUUAGUAUCAUCCCAUUAACCAGGUAUGAUUGCAAUCGCUCACACAUUCAUAUUAAUUGAUGCAUUUAGAUUCCAUUUGUCCACUGUGCAUCUACUCUGAAUACGUCUGUAUGAAAUUCAAGUAUCAGUAUGGCAUACUGGAAAGUAUGUUUAAGGUCAGGCAUUGAAAGGCGUGCCUUGUCUCUGAUUGACAUGAAUGAAUACCCUGGUGAAAGCGGUACGUUUCCAAAGAACAGGACUGAUUGGACUAAUGACCUCUAAUUUGCUUAUGUUUUGUGCAUCAGGGUGCUUCAUUGUUGAGAAAUGGCUUCCUGUCCAUGCGGGAUCAUUUUUUGUAUUUGAUUUGUGCACAAAUGUGUCUGUUAAUGCACUUGUGAAAUUUAAAUUGAAAAGGAUCUUCUUCCCUUAAAUUAUAUCAGUGUCCAGUGCUCUCAUUACAAUAGCAAUGUUUGGCCCCGUCCAAAACAUCAGGCUAAUUUAAUUUCAAGGAGCCCAAACUCCCUUUAUUCUAGUCUGUCGAUGUCAGUCCCCUCCCCUUAAAGCUUUUCCUUGUUAUUGACUGAAUGUCCAGCAAGGCCACCCUGUGUUCGGUGACAUUGUAAAAACGUAUUGAUCGGAGCUGUGUGCCCUUUCUUGGGUGACACGCAUC